rnacentral:lncRNA from 1 species
CCUCCCGAAGGAGGGUUCUGUUCUGCUUCCGCUGCCGCUCCAGGCAUUGGAGCGGGAACCUGCGCAGGAGGGAUUGGAGCGGGAUUCGGAUGCCGCUCUUGACUGACCACAGCUUCCGGGGGAGCGGUCUGCUCCUGGGAUGCAGAGGUGUCCUCACAGUCAGCCAGAAAACCUUUGAAUAGCUCUUUCGAGUUAGUGGAUCCGGAGGGAGGCAUUGAAGGGCCUGGGUCCCCCAUUCCGUCCCAGUCGGACUCGGAGCGAAGCAUCUCCCAACAAGAUUUUAAAAAAUCAUUACCCGGGCUGGUCGAGUAUGAAGAAAAGACCUAUAUGGGAUUCGGGUUAC